UGCGUGCCUGGAAAGCCGGUCUGUUUAAAACCCAGUUUCUCUGACUAGUGAAUACAACGGAUUGGAGUUUCAGUAAAAAAUGGAACUUCGCAAAACUCUGUUCUUCACUGCUGUGGUGUUCUCUACGAUGACAGUUUCCAGAGCUGAGGAGCCUUUGUAUGUGUCUGAGGGAGGCACUGCUCGUCUGGAUGUGCCAGGAUAUGAAGAAUUACAGUUUCACACUUUAUCUUGGAAAUUUAAUGGCUCUGCACUUGUAAAAUACCUUUCUCAGUCUAAAGGUCUGAUACCAUUUAAAGACUAUACCACAGCAGAAUUUAAUCAAAAGAACUUCUCUCUGCUGCUGAAGAACGUGUCACAGAGACACAGUGGGAACUACACAGCAUGGAUACUUAAUGAAGGAAAAGAGAGAUGUGUUGCUACCAGAUGGGUCACAGUUCAAGGUCAACAGAAGGAAAACUCAAACAAACUGUUUAUUGGCCCUGGUAUCUUUGCCAUCAUCAUCAUCAUCAUCAGCAUCAUCAGCAUCAUCAGCAUCAUCAUCUUCAUUAUCUGGAUAAUAUCUGGAGGGUCCCAGAUACGUAUGAAGUACAAGGCUGAAUAUGCUUCCGUUGAGGUCCAAGACGCAGUGGUUCCAGCCAGCAGUGCGCUCUGUGGCGGAGGCUGUUAAGCAGGUCACAUUCGAGCGGGCGGCAGUGUAGUGUAAUGGGUAAGGAGUUGGUCUUGUAACCUAAAGGUCAGAGGAUCAAUUCCCAGAUAGGACACUGCCAUUGUACCCUUGAGCAAGGUGCUUAACCUGCAUUGCUUCAGUAUAUAUCCAGCUGUGUAAAUGGAUGCAAUGUAAAUAAUGUGUAAUAUAGUUGUAUAAGUUGCUGUGGAUAAGAGCAUCUGCUAAAUGUCUAUAAUGUAAUGCAGAUGUAAAUGUAAUGUGAAGCAGUACUGAAGUUAUUUAUAAACUGAAAAACAUAUAUAUAUAUUUAUGUGUGUGCAUCUGAUUGUGUCGUCGCUUCUGCCGUACCCCGCAAUUCAGAUAAGCGUAUCUUCACUUGAUUUGUUUCUGCUGUUGUUAGUUAGAGAACAUAGUUGUGUGUAAUUUAGAUAAUCUUUUUUAAUAAACCAUUUGUUUGAGUUUUCCUUCUGUUGACCUGUAGUGAGAGACAGACUGUCAUUUCAAACUUCUGUGAUGAAGCGACUGAUGCCUUGCUGUUCCCUCAGGCCGGAUAAAAGCGCUAUAUAAAUGCAGUCCAUUUACCAUGAAAUGCACUUUUUUGUACGUCGCUUUGGAUAAAUGGUAAAUGGUAAAUGGACUGCAUUUGUAUAGCGCUUUUAUCCAAAGCGCUUUACAAUUGAUGCCUCUCAUUCGCCAGAGCAGUUAGGGGUUAGGAGUUAGGUGUCUUGCUCAAGGACACUUCGACAUGCCCAGGGUGGGGUUUGAACCAGCAACCCUCCGACUGCCAGACAAUCGGUCUUACCUCCUGAGCUAUGUCGCCCCAUAAAAGCGUCUUCCAAAUAAAUGUAAUGUAAAUGUUAUUAUUUUAAAAAAUAGUUCCAUGUCCUCAUUAUGAGCUACUAUGUGCUGUGAACUACUAAUGAAGUAAAAACUACAGAUUGUCAGGCUAACAUGUUCUGUUGCUUUUUAUUUGUUAAUACUUUUUCUCCCCUCUUUGCUGAGGCCCCACUCUACCUGUAUGUUUGAUUUGCAUCAGCUUGGAUAAAUUAAAUUAAAUAUGGAAAAGCUUUCUUGUGUGGAAAUGGGAAAGGGCUUUCCCCAAACUGUUGGAUGCACAGAAUAGACUAAAAUGUCACUGCAUUAAGAUUUUCCUUCAGAUCCAGAAAACUUUAUUAUCCAUCUGUUAUGUGCUCCUAGUUAUUUCUUUAAUAAAACAGAAUUUUACUGUAAUA